rnacentral:lncRNA from 1 species
UAAAAGCUGUGACACAUAUGGAUCUGUCGAUGAAUCAAUUCUCAAAUGGAAUUCCUAGGGAAAUUGGAGGAUUGCAAAAUCUGGUGCAUCUUUCUUUGAGACACAACAAGUUGCAAGGAUCUAUACCUGACUCAGUGAGCAACAUGGUAGGUUUGGAAUUCCUAGACAUUUCUCAUAAUAAUAUAUCAGGAACCAUUCCUAUGUCUUUGGAGAAACUUCAAAACUUGAAGUAUUUCAAUGUUUCCGUCAACAAGUUGCACGGUGAAAUACCCUCAGAGGGUCCUUUCAAGAACCUCUCGAGUAAGUUUUUCAUCGACAAUGAAGCAUUGUGUGGUUCUUCAAGUUUUAGUGUCCCACCAUGCGCCACAUCAUCAAAGCAUAGAUCAAAUAGGAAAAAAAUGCUUGUUCUAUUUCUUGUGCUGGGAAUUGCACUUCUUAUGCUGGGAAUUGCACUUGUAUUUGUUCCUAUUACCUUUGUGUUUGUAUGGAUAAAGUAUAGAAGAGGUAAAGGUGAUCCUCAACAAGCUGACUCAUUGUCUACCGUAACAAGAGAAAGAAUUUCAUACUAUGAACUGCUCCAAGCAACUGAGUCGCUUAGCGAGAGUAAUCUGAUUGGUUCUGGAAGUUUUGGCUCUGUUUACAAAGGUGUUCUCAGAAGUGGGACUGCCAUUGCAGCUAAAGUAUUCAAUCUGCAACUGGAAGCGGCAUUCAAGAGUUUUGAUACAGAAUGUGAAGUUUUGCGCAGCCUUCGCCAUAGGAAUCUCGUGAAAGUCAUCACUAGUUGCUCCAACCUUGAUUUUAAGGCUUUAGUGCUCGAGUAUAUGCCUAAUGGAAGUCUUGAUAAGUAUUUGUAUUCGCACAACAACUUCCUAGAUAUCAGCCAGAGACUAAGCAUUAUGAUAGAUGUGGCAUGUGCGUUGGAAUAUCUCCAUCAUGGAUGCUCCUCACCCGUGAUUCAUUGUGAUAUAAAGCCUAGCAACGUCUUGCUGGAUGAGGAUAUGGUUGCCCACCUAAGCGACUUUGGUAUUUCAAAACUGCUUGGUGAAGAUGAGAGUGAUUUAUACACAAAAACUUUAGCAACAUUUGGUUAUAUAGCACCAGGUACGUCUCUUUGUUUUUGCUAAUUUGAACAUUGAUUUUUCCUCUUAUUCUUUUUUUUCCAAUCAAGAAAGUAUAUUGCAUCUUUUAACUAAUUGUUUGACUGUAGAGUAUGGGCUGGAUGGACUGGUGUCAAUAAAAUGUGAUGUCUAUAGUUACGGGAUCAUGUUGCUGGAAACAUUUACUAGGAGAAAGCCUAGUGAUUUUGAGGGAGAUCUUAGCUUGAAGCAAUGGGUGAGUUAUUCACUCCCAGAGGCAGUAAUGGACGUUAUGGAUGCCAACUUGGUUACACCAAUGGAUAAUCGCUUACAGAAGGAGUUAGAUAUCGUGGCAUCAAUCCUGAAAGUAGCAUUAGAUUGUUGUGCUGAAACUCCGACAAGAAGGACAAACAUGAAAGAUGUUGUAGGGAUGCUACAGAAGAUCAAGAUUCAACUUCUUGCAUGCUGAGCAUGUUCUCUGAAUCUCUUGUUCCGAAUCGAUCACUUUUUUUGUUUUGUUUUAGCACUUGAUUUGUGCAUGAUUCUGUUUUCAGAAAUGCUAGUUGGUUGCAAUAAAUGUCACUGUUUCCUCUUAAAAACUAAAACCAAAUUGAUCCUCUUGAAAAUCUUGAAGGAGAAUGAUCAUUUUGUAAAUUGUUAGAGGAAUAAACUAUAUGAAUAGAAGUAGGCAAGUAAUUUAUUAAAUGUUUUACAUGGGAAACACUAAGACAUCAAGACAACAAACAAAAAGGGCAAUGACAAAAAAUGCAUUCGUGCAAGCUAUAUAUGAAGAAGGAUCUCAUCCAAGGUUGUAUGUAAUUUGUAAUGCAGGCAAACUACUCGACCUACACAAAAUCGUACAUUGUUGAACACUUAAGACUUGGUAGAAAACACAAAACAAUUUGCAGAAAUUCACUGAGGCAAAACGUCGAACAUGUUGCGGGCAACAAAUCAUGCAGUAAGCUACACAUUCAUAUACUAACUGCUUUAUCAGUGUCUUGAAAAUAAUGGAUAGAUUUCAUACCUGAGACCUGAGUGAGUGCUUGAAACAAGGAAGGGAAAAUCACUUGCUAAAACUCAACAAAUAACCACUUUUCAGCUCCUGCAAUUGAAAAAUAAUGAUUCAAAGUGUUCGUCUUGAAUAUUUUGUUAGCCUCUUAAUAAUAUUUUUUUUAAAAUGACCUUUUAACUUUGAAAAUAAUUGCUUGAAAAUUAGAAUAACAACUUAUACCUCAUGAGCAACAAUUUAUACUAUUUCACUGAGUAGCUUUGGUUAUGUGAUUUCAUCUCGUGAUUUGAGUCAUUUGAUAAAAUCUGAUUUUGAACUUGCAAUUCCAUCUCAUGAUUUGGGAUGACAUCUCAAAUUUUCCAAAAAGUUUGAUUGGGAAUUUGAUAUCACCAUUUUACAUUUUUCAAAUACAAAAAUUGGUCCACAAGUUUAUAUUCUUUUAAAAGAAAAUACUAUUUUAUAUCAACUAACCAUUUAUUUCUUAUGUAGACAAAAUUUAUAAUUGAUAUGAUUUCCCUUACCAACCUUUAAACAAUUUAUAUAGUAUAUAACUGUUACUCUCACCAAUCAAAUUUGUAGUUGAGGCUAGUUUUUGAAUGUACGUUACAAAUGUAUCCACUCAGCAAGACUUGUGAAUAAUUUAACAAUGAUAGUAUGUGUAGAAUGAAGCACCAAAUUUAUAUUGUCAGUCUAGCAAAACUUGUGAACAAUUAAAUGACAUAGGCAAGCUUAGCUAAUCUAGCUAACUCUUAUGGAGAGAUAAGACUUAAGACAAGUUCACAAUUUUAUCAUCAAACAACUGGAUGACUUCUAGUGGGCAAAAAUGUGUUACAAAUGAGAGUCGAUGGGCGAAUAUGGUAGAAGAAGAGGAGGAGCAUGUCACACCUCAUAGUAAAUUGAUCCCCGGAGCACCAACCUUUGUGCCUAAGGGUAGUAGCAUUGCCUAUGUUUCAUCUCCAUUACAUUGGGGGCGACAAUUGAUUUUAGCAGGUUCUAAUGUUCAAAAAGUUUAUGUCAGUGACAAGGAGCUUAUUGAUGCAUUGUGGGGUUCUAAUGUUGAAAGGUUGGUUUCUCUUACAAGUUACACCUAUUAACACUAACAAACAACUGCAAGUUGAUGGUAGUCAGUUUGCUAACCUACAAGAUGAGGAAAGUGAUGAAGAGGAUUGGUUGGAUCAAUGUUUUGAGAAUGUAGCUAGGGAUGCAGAUAUUUCUCCUAGGCAACAACGCAAUACACUACAAAAAAGGGGCUAAUUCGCAGGAGUAAAAAUUACGAAUAGUGGGGGUUUAGAACCCCCACAAUUUGUCGUUACAGGGGUUUCCACAACCCCCAUAGUUAGGUUUGUCACAAUUAAGUUGCAGCAGUUUUUAAGCAACCCCCACAAUCGACAAUUAGCGGGGUUCUAACUUCUGUAAUUUAUUUUCCAGGAAAUAAUUUUAUUCCAUUUUGUGGGGGUUUUAUAACCCUCCACAAAUAAAUUUUAGUAUGUUGGGGCUAUAACCUCCGCAACACUUUUGAUGGAAUUUUUAUAUUCAAUUUCGUAGAGGUAAUAAUGUAUAUAAAAUUAAGCUACAACUAAAUUAAUAAAAUAUUUCAUGGAAUAAAAAACACAAAGAUCUAACUAAAUCAUGAAGUUAACAUAAAUUAGUGUUAAAGUUCAUCAAAUUUACAAUAGACUUUCUUUAAAUCAAAAGAACAUAAAAACAAAAAAAUUGAUACGGUGUUGUCUCUAUGUACACAAUGUCUACUCAACUCAACUUCUCUAAAAAAUAUAAUACGUAAAUCUGGCUUUUAGAAGAACACUUCAAUUCCUUCCAAGUAUUUAUUGAUCUUUUAGACAUUAUUUUUUCGAACUGAACCUUGACUUUGGCACUCCUGCAACAAUAGUGUAUGUGAAGGACAUUAGUUGUGCAACAAUAGAGAGAAAUGCAAAAAGGCAUAGAGGAAAAUAGCACAUUUGACUGUAGCACAAGAGACUCAAUGUCUACGAUAGGCAGGAUCGAUUCUGUCAAGUAUUAGCUCAGUGCUAUACCAGUAGUCAGUGACGGAAUCAAGAUUUUCAUCAGCCUUUGUGCCUAAGGGUAGUAGCAUUGCCUAUGUUUCAUCUCCAUUACAUCGGGGGUGACAAUUGAUUUUAGCAGGUUCUAAUGUUCAAAAAGUAUAUGUCAGUGACAAGGAGCUUAUUGAUGCAUUGGGGGGGUUCUGAUGUUGAAAGGUUGGUUUCUCUUACACCUAUUAACACUAACAAACAACUACAAGUUGGUGGUAGUAGUACUUUCUCCCCAAAUCAGUUUGCUAACCUACAAGAUGAGGAAAGUGAUGAAGAGGAUUGGUUGGAUCAAUGUUUUAAGAAUGUAGCUAGGGAUGCAGAUAUUUCUCCUAGGCAACAACACAAUAUAUAACAAAAAGAAGCAUGGAGGAAAGAAUAAAUGGAAUGACAAGGUGCCUGAGGAGGUUGUUUCAAACACCUACCGAUGCGACUGGCAAAACAGAAUCAUAUGACAGUGUCAACAUAUUCAACAAGAUCCAAUAAUUCCAAGAAGAAGUGAUGAAAUAUCAAGUGUUGUUGGAUAGAUUUGAAGAAGACAAGAACAAAAUACUUCAGGUUACUUUAGAUGGGCAAUCAAUUCUUUUCAUUCAUGCAUCUUUAAAAGGAAUGUUCAGGUCGAUAACUCAACAUUCUUCUUGGUUGUUAUAUUUUUGCACUAUUUAAGCAUCCUCGUUUGUAAUAUCAUCAUAGAGUGAAUUACAAACUCUGUAAAUUUACCAAAUACCUAGUUCUCUCUAGCUCAUAUUUUCUUCAUGCUUGUUAGUUAGUAGAGGUUUGUUACCGCAUUAGGAUUGGUAAGGUAAGACCUAGCCCCCCUUGCUUGUACUUAUCCCUAUUGAGAUUUUUAUUUCUAAUAAAAGGCCGCUAGACACUUUGUCUAGUGGUAAAUUUGCCAAAACAAAUAAAUCCUUGAAAGCAUUGACUUAUUAGAAUGGCAACAUAAAGCACAUGUGUAUUGGUGUGGUCGAUGGGAGAUGACAAAUAUCUUCGUGGAAUUAGUGGAGAUGUUUGAAAGUUGGCUUGAAUACCGUUAUAACAAUACAUAAAUGUACCAUUUAAUUGGCAUUUAUGUCCUCCAACAUUGGGUGUGAACAAGUAAACACUUAAACUUGUGUAAAGUUGAACAAGUACAUACACUGUAUACAUCUUAUGUGGCGUUCUAUGUAGCAAUUUACAUCCUACGUGGCAUCUUACGUGUAUUAUACCACAUAGGACACGUGUGUCUACUUGUUCAACGUUAUAAAAGUUUAUGUGUAUACUUGUGCACACCCAAAGUUGAAGGUUGUAGAUGCCAGCUGAGGCCAAGUUAAAGAACACAUUUAUGUAUUAUCCCUAAAAAAAGUGUGAUUACGUGUUCGGAUAAAAGUAUUGAAAUUUAUAAUAAAGAUUUAUGUAUUUGGUAAGAUGUUGUAUUGGUAAGUUGUUCUUUUAUUAAAAUAACUAAUCUAAAAUAAUCUUGAUUUGUCUUUUUUUAGAAAGUGUAAAUCUAAAUGUAACCUUGUAAAGAAAAAGAGGAACACUAUAUAUCUUAGUGAAGAGGAAGUUACGAGACUUAUAUUGGAAAAAGUAUUUUUGAGAAUUUAAAAAAAAAUAAGGACAAAAUAGUAAGAGACCGGGUCAAAUCAAGAGUGUUCAUAACCCAAAAAUUAAUAAGUUCGGAAUAAUCAACUUAUGACUUUUGAUUGGUCUUAGUGGUUUAUAAGUACUUUGAAUGUUUACUAAUUAAUACGAACGUAAGAUAAAAAUUGUUUAUAAGUUAGUUUAACGAGCCUACAAGCUUAGUCAAAUACCUUCUAAAUAUCUCAUUUAAUUUUGUACUUUUUAUCUCUCAAGUGAGAAGCGAUAAUGAUCAAGAACUCACAAGUGUUUUUUUUUUUUUUGUAAGAUUCAUACAUAAAUUAUCAAGUGUUUGUGUUUUCUAUCUGAAUUAUCACUAUUUAUAAUUAACUCUUCUUUCUUUAAAGGGAAAAGACCCAACUAUGCCAUUGAACUUUGAGAAAAAAAACUCAUAAUCUAUUCCAUCCGUUUAGAAAAUUAGUUUAUCUAUGACAUUUUCAUUUGAGAAAAUGUUCAUCCAUAUCAUUGUUAGUUAAUUAAAAAUAGUUUUAAUUUUGCUUAGUUAUACAACGUUUACUAGCUAGCUAUUCAUGUCUGAAAUUAAUACACAAUUUGUUUUACAAUUUAAAAAACAACGUAACUAAUACUUGUAUAAGUUAGGAGGGAAUUUGUACAUAAUGUUAUCUCAAAUGGACUGUCAAUGCUUAUAGAAAAUAUAAUAACAAAAGGAUAAUGACAAUUGAGAAAAAGGUAAUUAAGAAAUGAUGCAUAAAUCAGAGGUCAAAUAUAUGAUAAAUAAUAAUAAUAAUAAUGAGAUAUAACUAUAUUAGGAAACAAAUUUAGCAGAGGCCUUUUUCCACUGUAGGUCCACUUUUCAUCACACAAUUCUAGAGAAUAUGAAAGCAAGAGUAUUUACAAAGAAUUACGCACACAAUAAAUAAAGCAAAACUUGGUUUACUUGCCAUGUCUUAAUUGGCUGAUUAGAGGAAUUUUUUUGCCACCAUAUUUGACCAUUCUGAUUGAGAUGUGAAAUACUUGAUUGAAUGGAAAAAUCUCCUAAAAAGAGAUCUUAUUGCUUUUCAAAGUCUCAAAACCACAGGUUACUAGUACUAAUAUUUGCACUAAUGGAGAAAGCCUUCACAUUUUUCCUCUUAACAAUACUCUUGUUGCCUCACUAUGUUAUGGCCCAAACCAACAUUACAACUGAUCAAUUAGCUCUUCUCUCUUUUAAAUCCCAAAUUAGUUCCGACCCCUUUCACUUCUUGAAUGAAAGUUGGUCUCCUGCUAUUUCUGUUUGCCGUUGGGUUGGAGUCAUUUGUGGUUCUCGUCACCAGCGAGUGAAGUCGUUGAAGCUUUCCAACUUUGCUCUUACAGGAAGAAUUCCCCGUGAUUUUGGAAAUCUCACAUUUCUUGUUUCUCUUGACUUGGGAAACAACCAUUUCCACGGAAAUUUGCCUCAAGAAAUGGCACAUUUGCGUCGGCUUAAGUUUCUUGAUUUAAGUUUAAACAGCUUCAGAGGGGAAAUUCCUUCUUGGUUUGGGUUUUUACACCAACUUCAAGUUGUAAACCUUAGGAGUAACAGUUUUACUGGUUCCAUUCCUCCGUCACUCUCGAAUGCCUCAAGGUUGGAGAUUUUAGAAAUAUCUACCAAUUUACUUGAAGGAAACAUCCCGGAAGAGAUUGGCAAUCUUCACAACCUGAAAUCGUUGUCCAUAGAACAAAAUCAGCUUACGGGUUCUAUACCAUUCACAUUAUUCAAUAUUUCUAGAAUUGAAGUCAUUGCAUUUUCAUAUAAUAGCCUAUCAGGAGAUCUUCCCAAUGGUUUAUGCAAUGAUCUCCCAAUACUCAAAGAGCUUUUAUCUAUCCAGAAACAAGCUUGAUGGUCAUAUGCCUACAAGCUUGUCAAAUUGUUCACGACUUCAAAUAUUGUCUCUAUCUGGAAAUUAAUUUUGAUGGACCAAUACAUAAUGAAAUUGGAAAAUUGACUAACUUGCAGAAAUUGUAUCUCGGAUACAACCAUUUCACAGGUAUAUAUGUUUUAUCUUAUGAAUGCUACUACUAUAUAUUGAAUCUAAUUACCUCACAUCUUUCUUUAUUACACAUUGAAUGCAGGUAUAGUUCCAGAAGAAAUUGGAAAUCUUGUUAAUUUGGUGGACUUAAGCGUGGAGAAUAACCAGAUUACCGGAUCUAUCCCAAUCUCCAUAUUCAAUAUCUCAUCGCUGCAAUCAUUGUUACUGUGGGGCAACAAUCUUAGUGGAUUCUUACCACGGGAGAUUGGCAACUUAACCAAGAUGCAAUUCUUAAAUCUCAAGGAAAAUAGGUUUACUGGUACGUAUUCAAAGUUAUAGCGAUCUGUAUUGAGCUAGCUAGACUCAUUCUUUCUUCACGUGUUGACAGGUGAAAUACCCAAAGAUAUAAGAAAUCUCGUUGAGUUGGAGGAAUUUGAUGUUGGGUUUAAUAGUUUUAGUGGUUCACUUCCAAUGGAGAUCUUCAACAUAUCACAACUGAGAACAAUUCAACUUUCAGACAACAAUCUAUCAGGAACUCUACCACCAAACAUAGGUUCUACCUUACCCAACAUUGAAAUACUUUAUCUGCAUACCUUAACCAAUCUUGUUGGGACUAUUCCUCAUUCUAUCUCCAAUUGUUCAAAGCUUACUGAUCUAGAGCUUUCACAAAACAAACUCAGUGGCUUAAUACCCAAUUCUCUUGGAUAUUUGACUCAUCUAAACUUCCUAAACUUGUGGGGAAACAAUUUAACCAGUGAUUCAUUUUUAAGCUUCUUGACUUCCUUAACCAAUUGCAGAAAUUUAACAUUCUAUCUUUCAACCCUCUAAAUGGCAUGCUUCCGGUCUCCGUAGGGAAUUUCUCCAAAUCUCUUGUAAAGUUUUAUGCCGCUGCUUGCAAGAUUAACGGUCAGAUUCCAAAUGAAGUUGGCAACUUAAGCAGCUUAUUAGACCUUGAUCAUUCUAAUAAUAACUUCAUUGGAUCAAUUCCUACCUCAACUCGUAACUUGAGAAACCUUCAGCGCCUGUACUUGAACAACAACAAGCUUACGGGAUUUAUUGGAGAUAAUUUAUGUAAAUUGCAGCAUUUGGGUGCUAUUUACUUGGGACAAAAUCAACUUUCAGGAUCUCUUCCUAAUUGUUUAGGGAACGUCACUUCCCUUAGAGAGAUACAUAUGUAUUCCAAUAAAUUGAGUUCCAAUAUACCAACAAGCUUAGGAAAUCUCAAAAAUCUAAUGGUUCUUAACUUGUCAUCAAACAACAUGGUUGGUUCUUUACCUCCGGAAAUUGGAAAUCUAAAAGCUGUGAUACAGAUGGAUCUGUGGUUCUUUACCUCCGGAAAUUGGAAAUCUAAAGGCUGUGAAUUAUAUGGAUCUGUCAAUGAAUCAAUUUUUUGCGACACAACAAGUUGCAAGGAUCUAUACCUGACUCAAUGAGAAACAUGGUAGGCUUGGAAUUCCUAGACCUUUCUCAUAAUAAUAUAACAGGAAUCAUUCCCAUGUCUUUGGAGAAACUUCAAUACCUCAAGUAUUUCAAUGUUUCUGACAACAAAUUGUAUGGUGAAAUACC